rnacentral:SRP_RNA from 1 species
GCUGGGCGUGGUGGCUCACGCCUGUGAUCCCAGCACUUUGGGAGGCUGAGGAGGGUGGAUCACCUGAGGUCAGGAGUUCGGGGCCAGCCUGGCCAACAUGGUGAAACCCCGUCUCUA